rnacentral:tRNA from 1 species
GCGCACGUGGCGGAAUUGGCAGACGCGCCAGACUUAGGAUCUGGUACCGUAAGGUGUGAAGGUUCAAGUCCUUUCGUGCGCA